AUUGAACGCUGGCGGCAGGCUUAACACAUGCAAGUCGAGCGAGCGGAGGACGGGUGAGUAAUGUCUGGGAAACUGCGUGAUGGAGGGGGAUAACUACUGGAAACGGUAGCUAAUACCGCAUACCAUCAGAUGUGCUCAGAUGGGAUUAGCUAGUAGGGGAGGUAAUGGCUUACCUAGGCGACGAUCCCUAGCUGGUCUGAGAGGAUGACCGUCCACACUGGAACUGAGACACGGUCCAGACUCCUACGGGAGGCAGCAGUGGGGAAUAUUGCACAAUGGGCGCAAGCCGGAUGCAGCCAUGCCGCGUGUGUGAAGAAGGCCUUCGGGUUGUAAAGCACUUUCAGCUAGGAGGCGUUACCCGCAGAAGAAGCACCGGCUAACUCCGUGCCAGCCGCCGCGGUAAUAC
rnacentral:rRNA from 1 species